rnacentral:lncRNA from 10 species
GGCUGGAGGGCAGUGGCAUGAUCUCGGCUCACAGGAACCUCCACCUCUCAGGUUCAAGCGAUUCUCUUGCCUCAGCCUCACAAGUAGCUGAUGCAGGAGAAUCACUUGAACCUGGGAGGUGGAGGUUGCAUUGAGCCCAGAUUGUACCACUGCACUCCAGCGUAGGUGAAAAGAGUGAAACUCUGUCUCGGGAGGUGGGUGGGAAGAUGUAACUUUAAUAAGUGUUGAAAAGGACCUUAAGUUUCUAUUAAAGGUAAUGUGUGCAUGGCGUAGUCUGCUUAAUGUUGCUUACAACAGAAUAGCUGAAACUGGGUAAUUUAUAAAGAAAAGGAAUGUAUUUCUUACAGUUAUGGAGGCUGAGAAGUCCAAGGCCAGGGGGUUGUACUUUGCAAAGGCCUUCUUGCUGGUGGGGACUCUGCAGAGUCCCAAGGCAGCACAGGGCAAAGCAGGGCGAUGAGG